rnacentral:rRNA from 1 species
CGGCGGACGGGUGAGUAACGCGUGAGCGACCAACCUUGCACAGGGGAUAACGGACCGAAAGGUUCACUAAUACCGCAUGAGACCACGGUGUUGCAUGACACAGGGGUCAAAGGAGCAAUCCGGUGCAAGACGGGCUCGCGUCCGAUUAGGUAGUUGGAGGGGUAACGGCCCACCAAGCCUAUGAUCGGUAGCCGACCUGAGAGGGUGAUCGGCCACAUUGGAACUGAGAUACGGUCCAAACUCCUACGGGAGGCAGCAGUGGGGAAUAUUGGGGCCAAUGGGGGAAACCCUGACCCAGCAACGCCGCGUGAAGGAAGAAGGUUUUCGGAUUGUAAACUUCUGUCCUUGGUGAAGAGAAGAAGACGGUAGCCAAGGAGGAAGCCCCGGCUAACUACGUGCCAGCCGCCGC